GGUUUUGUAGCAGGAGAAGGGUGUUUUAGUAUUAGAAUUACUAAAUCGUUAACUUUAAAAACA
rnacentral:tRNA from 5 species